GCGAAGGCAAGAAAUAUCAAAACAAAAAAUGUAAUAUCUCGGUAAGAUGUGGUUCAAUAUUUAUGUUUUUGAUCUUCAAAUGCUCCUAAUUAUCCCCCGCGUCGAGCCCAUUACUCAGAAUUUCAUAACUGUGAACAAUUAUGAUUUUCUUAAAAAUAGCCUGACCACGGGCAUUUUAGCGGCUGCGAGUUUUAUUUUUGGAUCUUCCUAUUGCGAAUUCCCUACCGUCUGUAAGACGACCAACACGUGGCGGCAGUCACUACCGCCAGGAUUAAACACACACGUGGAAUGUAACAAUUAAACGUAACUUUAUUAAAACAGAAAACGAUAUAUGUAUGUAUAUGUGUACGUGUAUACAACACUUGCUGGACAAGGAAAAAGGAACUGGACUAAUAUGUACUUGACAAACGGUCAGAUCGCGGUCCGAAAGUCAAGAGAAAGUUUCCGCUCUACGAGGAUGUUCUCUACCUUCUUGGUUUCGGGGGAGGAAGAAAAGGAAAUGGAAACGACCGCUAACCAUACAGGGUGUAGAGCGUAACUCGCGCAGAACGCUAACACUGUGAAUGGCCACUUGUGGGACCACGUGUUUGCCAUAGAUUACAUAUCCGCAACAACAUCGAAACACUAUUGCCACCAAGUGGAUAAACGCUCGAACUAAAAUACAUAUUGUACAGAUCAUUACACAGACAGGCAAUUAGAUAAACGUGACUAACUCAUUAAUUAAACAAGAAAUCUGCUCGGUGAUUUUAAAGGAUGUGUGCAAGAGUUCAAAGUGCAUUUCUCAAUUGUCAAAGUGUGGUGAUUAACUGCAGAAUAUUUUUAAAAUAUUAAUUGUUGGAAGGACGUAUGUGACGAUUUUACCGCACAUGUGUGUUGAUUAACUGCAGAAUAUUUUUAAAAUAUUAAUUGUUGGAAGGACGUAUGUGACGAUUUUACCGCACAUGUGGCGCCAUCUAUGGUGGCGGAUUUUUUAACUAGUUUCCCUGAUGUUGUAAUGAGUCAGAAAAAGACAGCGAUAGUGUGCGACAAGGAGAGAGAGAUAGGUCGACCGUGCCACCUACUUUUUGGCGGCACUUCGAAUUCCUUGGUACGUAUUAGUGAAACAUGAUGGGCAUGGAGGUAUCCAACAAGGACAAACUUAUGUGUUUUUCGGAGGAAGAAAGAGACACAUAUAGAGCUUCUCGGGGGAUCUGUGAAUUCAAUAGAUAACUUGCUAAUAAUUCAAUUAUCAUUAACAAUCAAUCUAUAUUAAUUAUUGAGAAACAUAGAACGGACCUUCAGCCAUUUUCGCAUAUAGUUUUUAAUCAGAUUUUGUGUCGAAUUAAAUAGUUACUAAUAAUUAUUCAGACCCGUGUAAUAGAAUAACCUCAAAUAAUUUUACAAGUCCUGGAUAAAUAUUUAAUAUUUAAUUGUCGAGAGGGAUGACGCAUGGUAUGCAUGAAAGGAUUAGGAGCCGUAACAAACCAAGUUAGUGGCACAUUUCGAGCUGUUGCUAUCAUUGUCGCACAGUCGCGCUAUCCUUGUCUUGCUCAUUACAACAGUAGGGAAAUGAUAUAAGGAUAAAUAGAGUAGAUAAGUUUCAUAAGAUUUUAAUAUUGCAAUAGUGUAAGAGAAGAAGAGUUUAUAUGUAUAUUAUACAACUAUGUAAGACAUUAUGUAAAAGAAACUAUGUAACAAGACAAAACCGGAAUGCUGUGAAAGUUCUUGCACUUAAAAUGAACUAUUAGAUUGUAUUAGAGAAACACUAAUUUCCAUGAAAAAUUGUUAAUUACUUAUUUACGGACAAUAUUAGGUUUUAAAAUUUUUUAAAUAAAUAAUUCAUCUUUAAUAAGGCA